AUUCAAUUAAGAGUUUGAUCCUGGCUCAGGACGAACGCUGGCGGCGCGCCUAACACAUGCAAGUCGAACGGAGUUAAGAAGAAGCUUGCUUCAUCUU
rnacentral:rRNA from 1 species